rnacentral:rRNA from 1 species
UACGGAGGGAGCUAGCGUUGUUCGGAAUUACUGGGCGUAAAGCGUACGUAGGCGGCCUGGCAAGUCGGGGGUGAAAGCCUGUGGCUCAACCACAGAAUGGCCUUCGAUACUGCCGGGCUUGAGACCGGAAGAGGUCAGUGGAACUGCGAGUGUAGAGGUGAAAUUCGUAGAUAUUCGCAAGAACACCAGUGGCGAAGGCGGCUGACUGGUCCGGUUCUGACGCUGAGGCGCGAAAGCGUGGGGAGCAAACAGG